CCUACGGGGGGCAGCAGUGAGGAAUAUUGGUCAAUGGACGCAAGUCUGAACCAGCCAAGUAGCGUGCAGGAUGACGGCCCUCCGGGUUGUAAACUGCUUUUAGUUGGGAAUAAAAGGGGGCUCGUGAGCCCCGUAUUGUAUGUACCAUCAGAAAAAGGACCGGCUAAUUCCGUGCCAGCAGCCGCGGUAAUACGGAAGGUCCGGGCGUUAUCCGGAUUUAUUGGGUUUAAAGGGAGCGUAGGCCGGUCUUUAAGCGUGCCGUGAAAUUUUGUGGCUCAACCAUGAGAGUGCGGCGCGAACUGGAG
rnacentral:rRNA from 1 species